ensembl:lncRNA
CGCCAGAAACAAACUUUUAAUGCAGCGCAGCCCAUGGAAGAGAGCACGGCAGAGCAGGUCAAUGUAUUCUGAGGGUAGCUGUAACCCACUAAAGCACACGCAAUUCUUGUGUGAUCUUUGAUAUUGCAGGAGCGGAUGGGUGUAACUGUGAUUUUUUGACUGUGAGCUCCUUGAUCCGUGCCUCCUUCCCUUUGUGCAGAUGUCCAGGGCUGGUGGAUUAAGGACUUAAUUCGUGCCAGGAAAAACCAUGCAAGUGGUGUUGUUAAAGAUUUUUUUUUUUUUUUCCUCGCUACCUCAAGUUUACUUCUGAUUCCGUGGAGUCAUAAAACCAUAAGAUCAUCUAGGUUGGAAAAUACCUCUAAUAUGAUCAAGUGCAGCCAUUGCUUUUUUUUUCAAAACUUUUAUUUUGUUUUCUUUAAAGUAAAUUAACUUUCCCUGUGUCAAGUCCAUUUUUCCUGUGAUGGUGAUUACUGAGGGAGCUCCCUGUCCUUAUUUUCACCCUUGGGAUUGCCAAGACCAUCCCACGACAACCAUCUAUACCUACCUACUAUACAAGAAAAGACUUCAGAAGUCUCUGCUACCUGGCUGAGCAACUCUUCAACCUGGGCACACCUACCACAGGCUGCUGCUGUCAGAUACCGACAGAAGACUCAGGCACACCCUGCAGCCCAUGACCUAGACAACUGCGUGUUUCCCCAAGACCUCCGUCUGAGUAGCCACAUUGGUGACUGUGGCUGGAGAGGCCACAAGAGAUGCAGAGGCCAUGGUUUUCUGCCUGGUGGAUACCAUGGCCGGGCUCUUCACAAGAAGGUUACAAGCACUGUUGGAAAAGAUGGCUGUAAAAGAGCGGUGAGGGCGCUCUCCCUGCUCACCCUGCCUGCACGAACUGCCAUGCAAACUGCCAUGCCAAGCCCUACUGAUGACGCACCACCCCCUGUUUGCCCAUCCUGUUCACCGUGGCUCCUUGUCGCACAUGCUCCCUAGGGGCUGCCUUUGAAUGGCAGGGGAGGGGGCGCUGCUGGCUCCACCUAUGCCUCCUCAGCCUCCGCCGCGAGGGCUGCCAGGUCCUGGCGGCUCCCUCGGCUGCCUCGAGUGGCCUCGAUGUUGGAAAAAAAAAGCCCUCCCCGCUCUGCUGCAGAACGCGUCUUCCCUGUGUGAGAAACUAAGUUGUGUUUUUGCAGUAGAGAACUAAUUUUCUGUGUUCAAAUGUAGCUGUAUAGUCAUAGCAAGGAGAAAUGCUAAGUAUGUAAGUGGACAGUAGAAGGACUCACUGUUCCAAAAUAUGGUAAAAGCUUGUGAAAAACAAGAUGAGCAGUGUGAGAACAGUAAAACAAAGAUCACAAGUUCUGAAAAUAUAAGAAAGGAGGGAAAAAAAAAAAGGAAAAAGGAGAAGUUAAAGGGUUGAAGAAAGAAAAAUUGUACAUAUAUGGUACAGAGCAGCAUCAAGUAGUUUGUGAACCUGUAGUACUCAGCCAAUGAGGAAAAAGGAGAGGUUAUCAGGUGUCAGGUAAUAGGGAAUAAAAGGUUAUGAUUUGUUUAUUAUAAUGUGCUC